GGAGAGAGAGAGAUUGAGAGAGAGAGAGAGAGAGAAAAGAAAAAGCUUCUUUUUUCCUUCUUUCAUUAAGAUAAAUUCUUCAGUACACAACCUCUCCCACGAAUUGUGUAUUAGCAAUGUUUUUUAUCUUGAGAGCUGACGCACUGGGCUCUCAAUGUGGUGUGGAAAGCAAGCCUGUUACAGUACUGGAUUCAUAAAAGGGCCUUUAUGGUUAGUGAAAGAAUAUCUGUGUGCUUAGGCAGGAAACUUUUUGAUCUGCAAAAAAGCCAGAAGACAUCUAGACCAGAGUAGGGGUGAUCAUCUCAUUGAGAAGCAUACAGUGUGAAAAGGUUUUUCAAAACACUUCGGGAUAAAUAACAGAUGAAUUCUUAAAAACUGUUAAUCUCUGGCAUCCUUAGCAACUAACCAGAGAACACUUCAUACACCUAUAAAGGCAUUUGAACUGGGCAAACAGGACGACAGCAGCAGUGAGCAUGAGAUCAUUGCAGCCGUGUAGCAAACUGGCAUCCUGCCUUUUCACCCCUUUGGUUCGGGAGACAAGCGUGUACAGUCCUCAUUUCUAAAGUCAGCACAGCCCGGAAGGAUUCCUGGUCUCUCCCACCUUCUACCAUUCUGCUGCCAGUGACGGCAAGGAUUGGUGCAGCUUCUGCGCAGUGCUUUGUGCCUGGAAUACGGAGAAGGAAGAGAAAGAAGACAAGCACUCUCGUCCUUCUUUGCUAAGAAAUAACAGGAACCCUGAAGAAAAAAAAAAAAAAAAUCUGUCUUACUUCAUGCAAGAGUUCUGAAAAAAAAAUUAUGAGAGACUCCUACUCAAAAAAACAAAAAACAAAAACAAACAAAAAGCCAAAUCAAAACAAAUUAAAAAAAAAACAACAAAAAAGCAAACCUUGGCUUGUAUAACUACAGAGACUUCGGGCUUGGUAAAGCAGCUUUUAAGGCAACAUAAUCAAAUGAGCCUUCUUUAUUUUUAUGAUUUCAAAAAAUAUGGCAUAAUUAACAAUACAUUGCUCUUGGUGAAAUCGCACCUUUCAUAUCAGGGAAAAACUUAAAAUGGAUAUGAGAAGUGAAGAAAGUGAUCAUAGGAGAAAAUCAUCUCAGAACCAUCAUAGAAGAUUUGGUACAGACUUUGAUGAUCCAGCAACUGACCUCCUUCUUCUGGACCAGACAAACCAGUGUAUUGCUACAUGUUCCAUAUUGUGUAACUUGAGAAAUCCACAUGGGAGAGAAUAGAAUGCUUUUCUUUAUAGGUCCUUUGAAUGUUAUUCAGUGGCUGCUCUCACAGGACUACUGGAUAAAGAAAACUACCUGAAUUUUCAGUCAUAUAAUGUAUAGUUAGAUCAGAAAUAGUUGGGCAACAAAAUGAAUAAUGAAUCAAUGGAAAAUGAAUUAAUUAAUUAAACGUACAAGCAAUGACUUUAACGAAGUCAUAUUAGAUAUUACAGUUCUGUGUUUGAUAUGUUGCAAAAUUUAAAUAAAAAUAGAAGAUGUCUCUAGACCAUCAAUUAUUCAGUUAAACCAGUUAUUCAGACCCUUUUAAUCAUGAUAACCAUCCCUCUUCUGCACCAUCAAAGGAGGAAAUUCAAAUGGAGGGAUAUGUCACAUGGAGAUAGGCAUUCAAUUUAACACUAGACAUAAAGAACUACAAUUUGAAACCCCUAGGAUCCUCAACAUUUGGGAAUCAGCUAAGCAAAUUAUGCUACAUUCCCAAAAUGAAAUCUUUAAAGCUACUUAAAUGAUUAAUUGGACAAACAGUAGCACGUGACAAAGGAAAGAACAUGAACUUGGGAUAGACACACUCGUGUUUGAGUCACACUUCCAAAAUGUUCCAGACACAAAGAGAAUUCUGGAAUCUCUGGGUCCUCUUGGAGGUUCUGUACAGGGUCCUCCCUGACAUGACAGAGACUGUUCAUGCUUUUGUGCCAUGAAACAUGUUCAGUAGUGUGCUUUCGGAGAGGCCCAUUUAAUUUUUAAAUAAUUUUUUUUUGUAGUGGUAAAUGGAUAGAAUGACUUUAUUUGUUUAUUUUUAUGUGGUGCUAAGGGUCUAACCCAGUGCCUCACACCUGCUGGACAAGCACUCUGCCACUAGCUGCAGCCCCAGCCCAAGGCUGAUUUAAUUUUGAAAGGUAGUGUGACAAAACUUCUAGGAAAGGAAUGAACUUUGAAAUCAGGUCACCAUCAAAUAUAUCACAUUGGGUACAUUCCUUGACGUCUUUGAAUCUCAGAUUCCUUUCAAUAAUUUGCAAUUAAUUAUAGUGUUUACCUAAUGGGAUCACUGUGAUGAUAAAGCGGCAUUAUAUAUACUAGCACAGAUCCAGGUAGGAAUUAGGUUUUAAAUAAAUGCUAAUUGUUAGCAUUGUUAUGGAUCUUUAUAAUAGUAUUUUUAUUAGUAAUACACUAAAAUGGCUACUCAAAAAAGAUUUUUAUGGCUGAAUUUUGCCUGAAUUAUGAAUUUCCAGUACCACAUUAAACACCCUCUGUCGCCCAACCCCAACAGAAUUGCUUGGUCAGUUUUCCUAGUAACAUUAUUUGCAUAAAACAACAUUUUUUAACCUCUUUAGCUUGAUCAUGUCCCAAGUAUGUAUGAAUCCCCACCUGUCAGCCUUUGCUCCUGUUCAGCCCACAGACAAGAUGCCCUGCCUCCUCCUCCUUCUCAUCCUUCAAGGCUAAUUCAAAUGGAGUCCUUGCUCUGAGCCUUUCACAAAGUACUCAGUACACAGUGAAUCUUCCCUGUGUUCUCAAAUCACUGUACAUCCUAGAAUGCUUUGCGUCUUCCACGUUUUCCACGUGUCUAUCUGACUUGUCCCCUACAGGCUAUCUCUCUUCUCAUUUUAGUUAUUCUUUAGCAACUAAGUCUCUUAUACACAGGGAACACAUAAAAAUAUGUCAAUUUAAAUUCACGAGUGACUGAAAGCUCUGCAAAUAACCUCCUGUAACUCUUGAUAGGCAUGUGCCAUUUGAAGUGCCCACCUAUGUAUAAUCUAUCGCAUUUUUAGGUUCUGAAUUUUGUUUUUACGAGACUGAUUUUAAAAAGACCAAAUGUAUUGGAAUAUUUGACACGAAGUCUCUUUCCCACCCCCCGACUCCCUUUUAAUUAACUGUAUGGAUAGAAGCCUUAUGGGUACAAUUAUAUGGGUAUAAUUUUCUUUCUCUCUAACCUAGUUCAUGAACAUUGCCUAUUAUGUAGCUCACGUGCUCUAUCCCUAGUUACAACAAUGCCUGCAAUAUUUUGAGAAGUUUUUACUAGUUCAAGAUGAAGAAAGAUAAAUUCAUUGGUUGGCAUGAUAUAUUUGGAAGCCCUUUUGAUUCUCAAACUCAAGAAAUUUCAAACUUAACAUUUCAUAAUUCUUUGCAAAGGAAAAAAUUUCAGUUAUUUAAAAGUGAAUAAUUACAAGGAUGGCAAAAGUGAGGAAAAAAUAGGCCAAGACUUGACCCAAAUGUAGUAUUAGCUGAUCUUAACAUAUUUUUUAGUUUUAAUCUAAUUGAAAUAAAUUUUUUUAACAGUCUGGUAUAUAACUUUAGCCAUUGAUACCCAAUAUUAAUUAGGCCUCCUCUUAUAGAUUCCUGAUUUCCUCAUAUGUUUACAAAUUUAUUUUUACAGAAAAUUACUGAGUGAGUUACUACAAAGAUCACCUAUUAUAAAAUUUUGUAGUUUCAAUUCCUGUGUAUGUUAAAUGCACAUAUAUACACACAUUUAUACAUACACAAAUACAUACACAUACUUAUAAUUUCCCCCUACAAAUUUACACCCAAACUGUUGGCCUGCUCUUUCUUGAUAUAGAAAAUCUGACAAACCUCUGAUACCCCUGGUACAAAGCCAUCUAAAAUGGUUAGUGGUAUAUACCUUCUGACACAGUCAAUACGUUGGAUAAUCCAAACACUUAAUAUGCCUCACCAUAAUUUUAGUAUUUUGAAAUAUCCUGAUUUGUUUUACUUGGUAUUUUUAUUGAGUGAAUAUCAUCAAGAAUCAAUCUGAUAAAGAAAUAACAAGCCUUGCCAGAAUUUGGAACAAAAAACCCAUUAAGUUUUCAAACUAUCCAGGUUAGUCUUUGAAAAACCUUUAUUCCUGCUCUUAUGCAAUGGUGAACUUAAACUUUAAAGAUAAUCCCACUGGUAUUUUGCAAGUCAACAAGAUCCAGCUCUCUUUUAUCAGAAAUGGAAAAAAAUAAACCUGUUUAGAUGUUUAUUUUUCUUUAAAUAGAAAAGGGACAAAUUAGUUCAUGUGUAAUCCUAACUUGGAAUUACUAUUUGAUUUAAAUCCUAUGGAUAGAAGGCUUAUGGGCAUAAUUAUAUAAGUAUAAUUUUCUUUCUGUCUAGAAGACUCUAGAAUAUGUGUUAAGAAUCUUAUUUGGUUUCACCCCAUGUUACUUUUCCAACACAACCUUACAGAAUUCUCCUCAUGUUAAUUUUUGUACAAGAAAACUGGACUUGCCUCCCUUCUCUGAAUUUUUUAUUACCAUUCUAUGUUGCCAAAUUCCAAAUCACUUUUAAAUAUGUAAAAUUCUACAAUUUCCCAUGGAGAUUUGUAAUCAUUACAAGCAAAAAUGCAUACGAAAUAACUAUUAUAAACAAAUGCUGCUUUAAUGAAGUUUAGAAUUAAAAAGACUUUACUAAAUAACAAUCAAAUACAAUUCUUUAGGCUAGUUUAAUGAUAAUUAUACUUAAAUAACAUACAUUACAAAUUUAUGUUGCUACUCUUCUAACACCUAGCCCUAAGAAAUAAAAACUAUUAUCACAAAAUUCAUAUACAAUAUGAUUGAUGUGGAGUUGCAAUGUUAAUCAAAUGACAUUCUUCUAGUACUUGGAAUCAAUCUAAUAUUAAUGCACUAAAUAAUAAGAGUAAAUAUGAUAACCAAUAGAAUAAUUGCCUGUUUUAGAUCAUUUUUCCUCAGUCUACUAGCAUAAAACUAGAUAAGAAACCUAGUAUUAAUCUUUAUAAAGUCUGGCACAUCUUUUUGCCUUUACUAAGCUCAUGAUAAAACAGAAAUGACAGUGUUCUAUGAAGUUCUCAAAGUCUAUGUUCCAUGGAUUAUAUAUUAAAUGUUUAUUUUAUAAGUUAAAGUCCUGAGAAAUUAUGAGUAAAGAAAUUUGGUGAAAAAAUUAAAUCAAACUUCAUAAUGCCAAUUUAAGUAAGGAACUAUCUUGGGAAAUUUUAUUAGUAAGUAAGCAUAUCACAGGAUAUCAUCGGUUAUGAAAACAUGAAAGAUGUUAUUUUGUAACAAGAAUAGCAACCCUCUUAUUUUCUCUCAGUUGAAGUUGUAAUGGAAGGUUACUUUUUGUUUGGUUUUUCUAUGAUCAAGAAUUAGUGAAAUGUGUUCAACUUCUGUUAGUAUAGUUGACUUUUUAUCAUAGAAAAUAAAAAUUUUUGAAUAUUUUUACUCUUACGAAUGUAAUAAAUACAUAUAUGUAAAUGUGUUUAUAUAUAAAUAUAUCAUGUUACAGAUAUUUCAACAGUGUUAUAAAUUUGAAUGAAUAUAUAGUAUCAUAGGACUAUAGGAUUAGGGAAUCAAUGUGAAUUGAAAUAAUUAAAAUGUUUAUAAAUAGUUCUGAAAAUUCAGUGGUAAGAAUUCACUUAUAAAGCAAACUAAUAUUUCUAGUAUUAUAGUAGAGAAUAGAAUGUGGUGGUUUACUAAUUUUAGUUACAUUUUAAAACAUGGAUACAUUUCCCUGGUUGUUUGAUUUUAAAUAACGUAUUAAUAAAAUUAAGCUAUGCCCAUUCACAUUUUUUUUUCUCCAUAAAUUUAGCUUUCCUUCUACUCAUCAAGUUAGCUAGUAUACUCUGGUUACUUCCGGACUGUUUGGUUCAUAUUCUGAAAAGGUUUGUGUUUUUUUAUUGUUUGUGUAUUUUUUAAAUAAAAUUCACCCCAAAGUGAUGAAAUUUGAGGUAAGAAAAAUCUGGAAUUUUACAUUUCAGGAAACAGUAGUGUAAGCUUAUUUUAUUUUAGAAUUUUUGAAAUUAUUCACCAAAACAAUUCUUAUUCUCUAUGUUGUCUAGAAAGGUUAUGUGCUUUCUUUUAUAACUCAUUUCAAGUUAAUAACCAGUGAUAAGCAUGAAUAUAAAACUCUUGCCUUUUGGUUACUAAAAAUUUCCCAUUAUCCUAAAAUUCUUAAAGGCACAUUGACAACUUCAUUGUUUAUUAAAUAACAUAUCUAACUAUUUCAGACCAUGUUUCUACAUAGCAUAUAUAUAUAUACUGUAGCUGACAUAAAAUCAACCACAUGUUUAAGAAGAGAAUAAGAAAAUGAACUUGUUAUGGUUUGAGUAUGAGGUGUCCCUCAGUCACUCAUGAGACAAUGUAACAAUAGGUGAAAUUAGUAGCUUAUGAGAACUGUAACCUAAUCAAUGAAUUAAUUGAAUUGAUGGAUUAAUAAUUUGAAAGGACUACUUUACUGUGUGAUAGCUGUAGGCAGGUAGGGUGUGGCUAUAGAAAGUCAGUCAGUGGGGGAGUGCUUUUGGGGUUUAUAUUUUAUCCCUGGCACCUUGCUUGCUCUUUCUCUCUGCUUCCCGCUGCCAAGAGUGAGCAGCUUUCCUCUGCCACACCCUAUUGCCAUGAUAUUCUGCCUUGCCUUGGCCCCAAAGCAAUGGAGUUGGUUGAACAUGGACUGAAGACUCUGAAUCAGGGAGCCCAAAUAAAUCUUUCCUUCUCUAAGUUGUUCUUGUCAGGUUCUUUGAGCACAGCAAUGAAAAGCUGACUAACACAAAAAACUUAAACACCUUUAUGUGAAUUUAGUAUUAAAUGGGGACUCUCUGCUUGUUGUGUGAUCAUCUGUCCUUCA